rnacentral:misc_RNA from 1 species
AAAGUCGUGAUAAGGUCUCCGUUGGUGAACCAGCGGAGGGAUUAUUACUGAGUUAUCCAACUCCCAAACCCCUGUGAACAUACCUAUAUUGCUUCGGCGGACCGUCCCGCGGCGCGCCCUCGUAGCGUGACCCGGAUCCAGGCGCCCGCCGGGGAACCAAACUCUUAUUUUCUAGUGUCUCCUCUGAGUAGUAUAAGCAAAAAUAAACAAAACUUUCAGCUACGGAUCUCUUGGUUCUG